rnacentral:rRNA from 1 species
UACAGAGGGUGCAAGCGUUAAUCGGAAUUACUGGGCGUAAAGUGUGCGCAGGCGGCCGAGCAAGUCGAGUGUGAAAGCCCCCGAGCUUAACUUGGGGAACUGCGCUCGAAACUACUUGGCUGGAGUGUGGCAGAGGAAGGUGGAAUUCCACGUGUAGCGGUGAAAUGCGUAGAGAUGUGGAGGAACACCGAUGGCGAAGGCAGCCUUCUGGGCCAACACUGACGCUCAUGCACGAAAGCGUGGGGAGCAAACAGG